UGAGCUUCAGUGUAUGAUUCACAACCGCAUGCACCAGCAUGCUGCAUGCAGAGCAAGUGCAGCUCCAUCUGUCUUCAAUCUGGACCAAUCUGUUCUGGCACUUUGAGGACUCCGGCUGCCUUGGGUGAAGAAACCCUUUGCCUUGUCAUCUGACUGCACAGCAGAGAGCUACUGGCCUCCAAAAGCUGCCUGGUACUAGAAUUGCUUGCUUAGCAGCUGUGAUAUCGUGAAGCAUGGAUUGAGUGUGUUGAAAAAUACCCUCUGUUCCUAGGAAUAGAAAAAGUUCUAAAAUAAGGUCUUAGAGGAUCAAAAGGCCAGCUUUUCAAGUGGUUAUGCCUCAUUUCCUGGAUUGGUUUGUGCCAAUGUAUUUGAUGAUCUCAAUUCUCAUAUUGGUGGGCUUUGGAGCUUGUAUAUACUAUUUUGAGCCAGGACUUCAGGAAGCACACAAGUGGAGAACACAAAGACCAAUCAUGGAGCGAGACCUCCGGAAAACAUUGAUGAUACGAGAUAAUCUAGGAUUUGGAGUGCCUGAAGUUUAGUAUUCUGCUCCCCAGGACAGAUAAACAUUUGGUUUGUUCAGGACAAUUUCAUUAUGUGGUCAGUUCAUAACUUCAUUCUUUGUGAUGUGGCUCUUUUUUAAUGAAGUAUUCUUUGCUAGUUUCUCUAAAAUACACCUUUUAAAUAAUGUCACCUUGGAGCUUCUGGUUUUAACUUUUAAUAAUUAAGCUCCGUACAUUAUACCAUCAUUUGAAUUUUUGGAUCCUCUGUAAAUAAAUUAAUCUGCUGGAAAUUGUUACACUUAAAGAGGAACUAGAUGGUUAUGUUUUACUACAAGGAUAAUCAGUAUAGAUUCUGGGUGCUCUGAAAACACAUCUGACAUUAUGCCAUUUUUAAAAAUCACUUGGAUUUUAAACAUCCUAAUGGAUUACAGUAUAUACUUUUUCAUUUCCAGCAUUGAGCUCAGAUAUGCUGAAGGACAUAUUCUGUGCAGGUUAAGGAUGGAGAAAAAAUAACCUAUGUUCAUUAUUUAGAAUGGGAUCUUUCACCUUUCCUUAUUCCUUAUUCUUAGAAUUUGAACUGCAGCACUUUUCCAGUUCUCUGCUGCUGUGUCUGUUGAAGUGGAUAAGACUUUUAAAACUCAAAUGCCCCAUCUAGCCCUAUUCUUUCUAUAUGUAUAAUUGAUCUUAACACUAUACAAUGUAGAAGUACACAGUCUACCUACGUACAUCUUAUUUAAGAGCUACUGAACUACAGACCAUGAUUGCAUAAUUCUAGUGCAAUUUUCCACAACUACAUUGUAUAUGAUAUGGGUUAGUAGUAUCCAUGUAGAAUGCUUGCACAUUGUCCACAUCUUCUUUAAAGCUGGUGUAUAAUUCUUUAUAGCUGGUGCAAACAUAACUAUAUGCACAAAAGAGAUUAUUAAUAAUCUCAGUUUCUAUGAAAAUUACACAAUAACAAACUCUAGAGUCCUAUGUUAUUAUAAAUAUACUGUUUUUGCUGAAUUGCAUUAAGGCAUCACUGAUUGCAGUUUUAUUCCAUUGAUGACAUAAUAUCUCAAGUUGUGCUAACUUAAUACAUUGGUUCCAUUUAUUAUAUCUUGGGGCAGGAGCGGAAUAGUAUGCUCACCAGCUCUUCUUGUACACAUUCCAUGCUAGGAACACGUGCCUUUCUUUCUUCAAUGUGCUUGCAGGUACACAUUCCAAGUUAAGAAUGUAUAAACAUUGUUGUUAUAGUAUCUGUAUACAGUGAUACCUUGGUACUUAAUGCUUUUGGUACUCAAUGCAUUUUGAUGUGAAAAUUUUGUCCCGGUACUCAUCAGUUUGGUACUUUACACACAAGCUAGAACUUAUCAGUGUCAGUUGCUUUGUGACUCAUUACAUUAUUCCUUAUGGGAAAAGAUUGCUUGGUACUCAUCAUUUUUGGCACUCAUCGCACCUCACGGAACCAAUUAAGGAUGAGUCCUGAGGUAUCACUGUACUCGACUUCAUAAUUCCUUGAAUAUUGGAAAUCUUUCUGUACAUUACAUACUUCAUUGGAAUUAGUGGUGUAGCAUAAAGAUCUUUUUCUACAUCUGUAAUUUCCUCUCACAUCUACCUCACCUACACUUGACAGCUUCCAUUGUCUAAUGCAGUGCCAUAGACCCUGACAACAAUAUAGCACAGAAAGACUUUGUUCAAUUUCUUCUCUUGUUCUCGUUUGAUCAGUUCACCAUGAGUUGGUCAUGGGUUCAUAGCCGGCCAUUCCUCUCACUUGAAAACAGCUGACCAAUUUUUCAGCAGUAACUGAAUUUAAGUAUAGUACAUGGCAAUUUGUGAUACUAUGUGGGAGUUAUGGUAGAUGUUUGAGGAUACCAUUAAUAUCAUUAGAGCAAUGUUGCUUUUGUAGAGAGGGGAACUUGUCUCAAAGCCCUUUUGCUGGGUCAAUGUGAAUAUUGUUCCAGGCAUCAUUCCUGAAAAUAACAUUUGCAUGGGACUCUUUAUUUCCAAUAUACAUAACAGGUAAGAAAAUUUCCACUUCUAAAAACAGCUAAUGCAGCAAAAUGGAUUCCUGGCUUGAAAUCAUGUGCUGUGUGUCAUUUUAAGUAUUCAAAGUAUCUUAAAUUUUCCAAAAUGUUAAGUGUUCCCAGUUCAGAGCUUCUUGCACAUGCAAUGAAAAGGCCAAAUUUUAUGUUACAAUUGCAACUGUUUGAUGCUAUCAAAAGGUGGCAAAUUGUCAUCUAUUUUUACAGUAGGAUGGGGAAGGGGCGUGGAAGCAUGCAUUUUUGUAAGAUCAGUAGCAUUCUUUGUCUGAGCCAGAAAGGGUAUGUAAACAAGCUUGCUUCUACAUUUGUAUCACCUGAUCUAUUUUUAUAAGGAGACAAUGAAACAGCAACACCAUAUAGUUCCUAAAAUAAUACCCGCCUCUUCUCAUCCCGUAUAUAAAUAGCCAUUCUUCUCUGUCUGUGACUUAUCCAUCAGCACUGCUGCUAGCUACAGCCAUAGUCUCUGAGUGAUACUUAGAGGCCUCUUUUCUGAGUCUUGAUUCUCUUUUCUGGCAACUAGACUACCAAUGCAAAUGAACAACCCCCAAGCAUAGCAAUGGGGUAGCAAUAAGUCAUUUAUUAACAAAUAUAAAACUUUGAAACAGUAUUCUUUCAUAGCUAAUGUACAGUUGCAAUAUAUGGGCAUAGGGGGCAUUAUGGCACUGAUUUGCACUAAACCUUUCUCCUGAUUUUUUCCUCAGGACUGUUAUCACUUGUGAUAAAAAAUAGAAUGCAUUUGUAGCAUGUCCAAUAUCCAUCCAGAAUCAAUGUUGUGAGCAUGCUUUCACAUUGCAUUUGAGUGUAACAUUACCAGAGGGUCAAAACAACCAUUAAGGAGUGUUUAAGCAAUUAAGUCAUCUUUCUGUGUGUGCUUUUAUUUCAGUCCAAAAUCCAAAUAAUUAGUAUGAAUAUGUACUGUGAGUAAGCAAUGCUAUUUAUCCUACUUUUCAACUAAAAUGGGGGAUGAACCUAGCCAUUCAGAUCAGUAUGUCUAGUAAUCUUAAUUUUGACCCUGAUAGCUAGACUCAUCAAUUCUCUUGUUAUAUUUCCACCUGUUAAUGGCUCUUUAUUAUCCAAUAAUGAAUGAGAGAUUUGUUAACAUUUGAGAGAUCUCUGUUCUGUUUCUAUACUUUCUAUGGUAAGAGGAAAACUCAAUUUUCAAACAGGAAACAAGUAUGAAAUCUACAAUACGUUUUCAACUUCUUUUCUUUUAACUAUCAGGAAAAAAAUUAGACAAAAAUACAAUGUAACUAAGCUAUUUCUUAUAAUGGAAUUUUAAAAAUUACCUAUAAAAAAGAGCUCAUUACUCCUGUUUUUUAAGAUUACUGAAAAUUAUUUUAAAAGAAGAUUAGAACAUAGCUGGCCUUUCAGAUACUACUGAAUUCUCACAAUGCCUGCUCACAGCCAUUUGACUGAGCUUGAUGGACAUCAAUUCCAACAGCAUCUUGAGAGCCAUUGGCUGCACUGUCUCAGGUCUUGGCUCCUUCUCCUGUUUUGUGCACCAAUUCUUAACUGUUUAACUGUUGUCAAGUUUUAUAUUGUCCAUAAGUGCCAGCUUCCUUGUGAACAUUUUAUGUGUACAUAUGAAAUAUUCCUAUCUUACACAAUAACUUCAUCUGCAAAUAUAACACCAGUAUUAGCUCUGAACUCAUAUUAUAGCAUACAUAAAUGGACAGCCAUAUGGUGCAUUUUUGUGAGAAAAAACCCACAUAUUUUAUGAUUAAAGUAGUACUUCUUUAAUCAUAAAGAUCUUUGGAUCAUGCUGAUUUUUAAAAAGUCAUACUUAAAACAUUAAUUAAAAAAUUAAAUAGUUCUAUUUCAGAUUUUAAAAACUGUACAAAUCCUAACUGCAUUUAACUAGGGACCAAACUAAACAGAAAGCAUUAAACAUUAAUUCUGAAUAAAUAGGAACAUGAGUACAUAUAUCUUUGUACAAAAUUAGGUCAAUUUGAAGUAUGUAGUACUUAUUUUUGGAUGCCAGAUCUGUUCUGCUUCUAACUUUUUUUUAAUUAGCAAAGAAACAUUUUGCAAAGAAAAACAUAAAUGCCUCAAUCCCAGAAACAAUGUAUUUACUUGAAAAAAUGGGUACUGGGAGGAUCAGGAGUUGAGCUUUUUUAGACUACUAGGAAUUUUUAAAAUAUUCAGCCUAAAACUAAACUAUGCUUAGAAAGUAAUAUGUGCAUUGUUUUUCCUCAAUGAGAUUAAAUCUGCUACUUGACAGUGUAACUUAAACAGCUCUGAAAUAUCAUAUUUUUAUGUCCCCUAAAUUGAUUAAUACUGAACAAUGCUGCUCUACUGUGGGGAGCGUGGAAUUGGAGGGAUCCUGGACCGAAUCCAGUUGUCCUCAGAAUUGUUACGAAGGUGUUUCAUUCUCUGGACUGGAUAAUUUAUUGUCAAACUGCAUUGUGCUGAUGAUUCUCUGCCUUAGAGUUGUUAAAAUUAUGUUCAUGCUGUUAAGACUGAUGUUAAAUGAAUACAUCCAGAGAAAGCUCUACAGCUGUGCCUGGCAUGUGAUGUUCGGGGGUGGUUGGAGUUUUCAUCAAGUAAACCUUGUACAGUUUUAACUUGUACAGGGGUCCAGAAGGGUAAAGCACAAGAUGAGUGCACACGAUGCUCCUUCUCCAUCAUCAUUAUUUGCCUAUUGGGAAAAGUACAGAGACAUAGUACCAUACUGUUCACUGCUAAGGAGAAAGUGCUGAGGGCUGUAGAUUGUGAUGGUCAGAAUGAGGAUGCCUAUAGAACUGUGAACCUUAGAAUUUGGUCCGUGGAUCUAUCUGCUAAUCAGAUUUCUAAACCACCACAAUUGUACAAAAUGGCCAAUGAUGCUAACUCCUAAUACUGUCAGACUAUUAUGCUCUAUAAUAUUGGUCCAGAUAUAGAAAAAGUACAAAUAGCUAUAUUAAAACAAAGCUUCAAAAUUUUUCCCAUAACCUUAUCAGUCUAAUAACAGAUAAAUAUUAGCAUAUCUAUGAAAUAUUCUUUCUUACAGAAUAUCAUGUAUUCAGGGAACUCUGAAAUUUAGCAAUUGAGAAAUUGUUAGAUUGAAUGAAGCUUUUGAGAAUAUUUUGCAGGGGGACAGAGAAAACAGAAACACCAUCUGAUCAUCGCUUCUACCAUGAUAGUCUGUAUACCAUUUCUCCUUCUGUCAGAUGAUCUAGUACAGAACUGUGAAUUUAAUUCAUUUGCUUCAGAAUCUGAAAUAAAAACUACAAUAG